CCUACGGGAGGCAGCAGUGGGGAAUAUUGCACAAUGGGGGAAACCCUGAUGCAGCAACGCCGCGUGAGCGAUGAAGGCCUUCGGGUCGUAAAGCUCUGUCCUAAGGGAAGAAUACUGACGGUACCUUAGGAGGAAGCCCCGGCUAACUACGUGCCAGCAGCCGCGGUAAUACGUAGGGGGCUAGCGUUAUCCGGAAUUACUGGGCGUAAAGGGUGCGUAGGUGGAUAUUUAAGUGGGAUGUGAAAUACUCGGGCUUAACUUGAGUGCUGCAUUCCAAACUGGAUAUCUAGAGUGCAAGAGAGGAGAGUGGAAUUCCCAGUGUAGCGGUGAAAUGCGUAGAUAUUGGGAGGAACACCAGUUGCGAAGGCGGCUCUCUGGACUGUAACUGACGCUGAGGCACGAAAGCGUGGGGAGCGAACAGGAUUAGAUACCCUGGUAGUC
rnacentral:rRNA from 1 species